GGUUGUAAACUUCUUUUAUACUGGAAGAAACCUCUCUACGUGUAGAGGGUUGACGGUACCGUACGAAUAAGCAUCGGCUAACUCCGUGCCAGCAGCCGCGGUAAUACGGAGGAUGCAAGCGUUAUCCGGAUUCAUUGGGUUUAAAGGGUGCGCAGGCGGAGAAUUAAGUCAGUGGUGAAAUCCUGCAGCUUAACUGUAGAAUUGUCAUUGAUACUGGUUUUCUUGAAUGCAGUUGAGGUAGGCGGAAUGUGUAAUGUAGCGGUGAAAUGCUUAGAUAUUACCCAGAACACCGAUUGCGAAGGCAGCUUACUAAACUGUGAUUGACGCUGAGGCACGAAAGCGUGGGGAGCGAACAGGAUUAGAUACCCUGGUAGUCCACGCUGUAAACUAUGAUCACUCGUUGUUGGCAAUACAUCGUCAGCGACUGAGCGAAAGCAUUAAGUGAUCCACCUGGGGAGUACGAUCGCAAGAUUGAAACUCAAAGGAAUUGACGGGGGCCCGCACAAGCGGAGGAACAUGUGGUUUAAUUCGAUGAUACGCGAGGAACCUUACCUGGGCUUAAAUGCAUAACGACGGACCGGGAAACUGGUCUUUCUUCGGACGGCAUGCAAGGUGCUGCAUGGCUGUCGUCAGCUCGUGCCGUGAGGUGUCGGGUUAAGUCCCAUAACGAGCGCAACCCUUAUCAUUAGUUGCCAGCGGGUAAUGCCGGGGACUCUAAUGAAACUGCCGGUGUAAACCGAGAGGAAGGUGGGGAUGACGUCAAGUCAGCACGGCCCUUAUGUCCAGGGCUACACACGUGUUACAAUGGUCAGUACAGAGGGAAGCUACCAGGCGACUGGAUGCUAAUCUCAAAAACUGGUCUCAGUUCGGAUCGGAGUCUGCAACUCGACUUCGUGAAGUUGGAUUCGCUAGUAAUCGCGCAUCAGCCAUGGCGCGGUGAAUACGUUCCCGGGCCUUGUACACACCGCCCGUCAAGCCAUGGAAGCCGGGGGUACCUGAAGUUCGUAACCGC
rnacentral:rRNA from 1 species